rfam:Schistosoma mattheei strain Denwood, Zambia genome assembly, scaffold: SMTD_scaffold0001451
AUUCAGCUGUUGAGUCCUAAAUAGGAUGAAACACGCGUCAUGGAU